CUCACCCCCUCUGCGAAAUUUACUUGCUUAGAUUCGCUCAAUUCCUCGAUGCCUAUGGGAUCAUGAUUAUGUUAUAUGAUCACAUAGACAUUCAACAAUUGAGCCAAGGUAGCCUAAUAUUGCUGUUUGACAUAACUUCAGACUACACCAAAUACAUAAAAAAGGU